GAAUUAUCCAGUUUUCUGAAAAGCCAAUGGGUGCCAAUUUGAGUGCAAUGCGAGUAGAUACAACUUCAUUUGGUUUGUCUCGGGAGGAGUCAUUGAAGUCUCCUUACAUUGCGUCGAUGGGAGUUUAUGUUUUCAAAACAGAUAUUUUGCUAAACCUUUUGAAGUGGAGAUAUCCUACAUCUAAUGACUUUGGCUCUGAAAUCAUUCCUGC
rnacentral:misc_RNA from 1 species